rnacentral:rRNA from 1 species
GAAGGGGGCUAGCGUUGCUCGGAAUCACUGGGCGUAAAGGGCGCGUAGGCGGGCUCUUAAGUCGGGGGUGAAAGCCUGUGGCUCAACCACAGAAUGGCCUUCGAUACUGGGAGCCUUGAGACCGGAAGAGGUGAGUGGAACUGCGAGUGUAGAGGUGAAAUUCGUAGAUAUUCGCAAGAACACCAGUGGCGAAGGCGGCUCACUGGUCCGGGUCUGACGCUGAGGCGCGAAAGCGUGGGGAGCAAACAGGAUUAGAUACCCUGGUAGUCCACGCUGUAAACGAUGGAUGCCAGCCGUUGGCCGGCUUGCCGGUCAGUGGCGCAGCUAACGCUUUAAGCAUCCCGCCUGGGGAGUACGGUCGCAAGAUUAAA